rnacentral:rRNA from 1 species
AACGGGUGAGUAACGCGUGAGGAACCUGCCUCAAAGAGGGGGACAACAGUUGGAAACGACUGCUAAUACCGCAUAAGUCCACGGUGCCGCAUGGCACAGAGGGAAAAGGAGCAAUCCGCUUUGAGAUGGCCUCGCGUCCGAUUAGCUAGUUGGUGAGGUAACGGCCCACCAAGGCAACGAUCGGUAGCCGGACUGAGAGGUUGAACGGCCACAUUGGGACUGAGACACGGCCCAGACUCCUACGGGAGGCAGCAUG